GAUGAACGCUGGCGGCGUGCCUAAUACAUGCAAGUCGAGCGAACAGAUGAGGAGCUUGCUCCUCUGACGUCAGCGGCGGACGGGUGAGUAACACGUGGAUAACCUACCUAUAAGACUGGGAUAACUUCGGGAAACCGGAGCUAAUACCGGAUAAUAUAUUGAACCGCAUGGUUCAAUAGUGAAAGACGGUUUUGCUGUCACUUAUAGAUGGAUCCGCGCCGCAUUAGCUAGUUGGUAAGGUAACGGCUUACCAAGGCAACGAUGCGUAGCCGACCUGAGAGGGUGAUCGGCCACACUGGAACUGAGACACGGUCCAGACUCCUACGGGAGGCAGCAGUAGGGAAUCUUCCGCAAUGGGCGAAAGCCUGACGGAGCAACGCCGCGUGAGUGAUGAAGGUCUUCGGAUCGUAAAACUCUGUUAUUAGGGAAGAUCAAAUGUGUAAGUAACUAUGCACGUCUUGACGGUACCUAAUCAGAAAGCCACGGCUAACUACGUG
rnacentral:rRNA from 1 species